GACGAACGCUGGCGGCGUGCUUAACACAUGCAAGUCGAACGGAAAGGCCCUGCUUUUGUGGGGUGCUCGAGUGGCGAACGGGUGAGUAACACGUGAGUAACCUGCCCUUGACUUUGGGAUAACUUCAGGAAACUGGGGCUAAUACCGGAUAGGAGCUCCUGCUGCAUGGUGGGGGUUGGAAAGUUUCGGCGGUUGGGGAUGGACUCGCGGCUUAUCAGCUUGUUGGUGGGGUAGUGGCUUACCAAGGCUUUGACGGGUAGCCGGCCUGAGAGGGUGACCGGCCACAUUGGGACUGAGAUACGGCCCAGACUCCUACGGGAGGCAGCAGUGGGGAAUAUUGCACAAUGGGCGGAAGCCUGAUGCAGCAACGCCGCGUGCGGGAUGACGGCCUUCGGGUUGUAAACCGCUUUCGCCUGUGACGAAGCGUGAGUGACGGUAAUGGGUAAAGAAGCACCGGCUAACUACGUGCCAGCAGCCGCGGUGAUACGUAGGGUGCGAGCGUUGUCCGGAUUUAUUGGGCGUAAAGGGCUCGUAGGUGGUUGAUCGCGUCGGAAGUGUAAUCUUGGGGCUUAACCCUGAGCGUGCUUUCGAUACGGGUUGACUUGAGGAAGGUAGGGGAGAAUGGAAUUCCUGGUGGAGCGGUGGAAUGCGCAGAUAUCAGGAGGAACACCAGUGGCGAAGGCGGUUCUCUGGGCCUUUCCUGACGCUGAGGAGCGAAAGCGUGGGGAGCGAACAGGCUUAGAUACCCUGGUAGUCCACGCUGUAAACGGUGGGUACUAGGUGUGGGGUCCAUUCCACGGGUUCCGUGCCGUAGCUAGCGCUUUAAGUACCCCGCCUGGGGAGUACGGCCGCAAGGCUAAAACUCAAAGGAAUUGACGGGGCCCCGCACAAGCGGCGGAGCAUGCGGAUUAAUUCGAUGCAACGCGUAGAACCUUACCUGGGUUUGACAUGGAUCGGGAGUGCUCAGAGAUGGGUGUGCCUCUUUUGGGGUCGGUUCACAGGUGGUGCAUGCCUGUCGUCAGCUCGUGUCGUGAGAUGUUGGGUUAAGUCCCGCAACGAGCGCAACCCUUGUUCACUGUUGCCAGCACGUUAUGGUGGGGACUCAGUGGAGACCGCCGGGGUCAACUCGGAGGAAGGUGGGGAUGACGUCAAGUCAUCAUGCCCCUUAUGUCCAGGGCUUCACGCAUGCUACAAUGGCUGGUACAGAGAGUGGCGAGCCUGUGAGGGUGAGCGAAUCUCGGAAAGCCGGUCUCAGUUCGGAUUGGGGUCUGCAACUCGACCUCAUGAAGUCGGAGUCGCUAGUAAUCGCAGAUCAGCAACGCUGCGGUGAAUACGUUCCCGGGGCU
rnacentral:rRNA from 1 species